GACGAACGCUGGCGGCGCGCCUAACACAUGCAAGUCGAACGGUUAAAGCACCUUUUAGGUGUGUAUAAAGUGGCGAACGGCUGAGUAACACGUGGGCAACCUGCCCUCCUCUUGGGGAUAGCCUCGGGAAACCGAGGAUAAUACCCGAUACUUCAAUGUGGCCGCAUGACGACAUUGAGAAAGCUUUUGCGGAGAAGGAUGGGCCCGCGGCCUGUUAGCUUGUUGGUGGGGUAGAGGCCUACCAAGGCAAUGAUGGGUAGCUGGGUUGAGAGACCGACCAGCCAGAUUGGGACUGAGACACAGCCCAGACUCCUACGGGAGGCAGCAGUGGGGAAUCUUGCACAAUGGGCGAAAGCCUGAUGCAGCGACGCCGCGUGCGGGAAGAAGGCCUUCGGGUUGUAAACCGCUUUCAGCAGGGACGAGGCGAAAGUGACGGUACCUGCAGAAGAAGCCCCGGCUAACUACGUGCCAGCAGCCGCGGUAAUACGUAGGGGGCAAGCGUUAUCCGGAUUCAUUGGGCGUAAAGCGCUCGUAGGCGGUCUGUUAGGUCGGGAGUUAAAUCCGGAGGCUCAACCUCCGCCCGCUCCCGAUACCGGCAGACUUGAGUUUGGUAGGGGAAGGUGGAAUUCCUAGUGUAGCGGUGGAAUGCGCAGAUAUUAGGAAGAACACCAGUGGCGAAGGCGGCCUUCUGGGCCAUAACUGACGCUGAGGAGCGAAAGCUAGGGGAGCAAACAGG
rnacentral:rRNA from 1 species